rnacentral:rRNA from 1 species
AGUGAACGCUGGCGGCGUGCUUAACACAUGCAAGUCGAACGAGAACGGAUUAUAGCUUGCUAUAAUUGUCAGCUAAGUGGCGCACGGGUGAGUAAUGUAUAGGUAAUAUGCCUCUUACUAAGGGAUAACAAAUGGAAACGUUUGCUAAUACCUUAUACUCCUUAUUAACAGAAGUUAAUAAGGGAAAGAUUUAUUGGUAAGAGAUUAGCCUGUAUUGUAUCAGUUAGUUGGUGGGGUAAUGGCUUACCGAGACUAUGACACAUAACUGGUUUGAGAGGAUGAUCAGUCACACUGGAACUGAGACACGGUCCAGACUCCUACGGGAGGCAGCAGUGGGGAAUAUUGCACAAUGGACGAAAGUCUGAUGCAGCAACGCCGCGUGGAGGAUGACACAUUU